GCAUAAUAAUUCGCCCUUUAAUUGUGGGCAUGUAUGAAUGGACAAACGAAAGAAAUACUGUCUCCUUAAUUUUAAUAAAAAUUGACUUCUAGGUGAAGAUGCCUAGAUAUAAUUAGAAGACAAGAAGACCCCAUAGAGCUUAAUUAUUACUUUGCAUAAAUAAAUAAUAUAUUAUUAAUAUAAAUUCUCUAUACUGUUUAAAUAUAAUUUAGCUGGGGCGGCUAAGGAAAUUAAUCUUCCAUAUAAUUUCUUAGGUAAAUAAACCUUACUUUUUGACCCUUAUUUGAUAAAAAGAAAAGCUACCUUGGGGAUAACAGAUUAAUCCUUCUUGAGAGUUCACAUUAACAGAAGGGC
rnacentral:rRNA from 1 species